rnacentral:rRNA from 1 species
AACGAACGCUGGCGGCAUGCCUAACACAUGCAAGUCGAACGAGACCUCCGGGCGUAGGGGCGCACGGGGGCGUAACGGGUGGGAACCUGCCCUUAGGUUCGGAAUAACUCGCCGAAAGGGGUGCUAAUCCCGGAGAAUGUGUUCGGACCAAGGAUUUAUCGCCUUUGGGUUGGCCCGGGUUGGUUUGGGUGGUUGGUAGGGUAAAAGCCUACCAAGGCGACGAUGCCUAGCUGGUCGGGGAGGAUGAUCAGCCACACUGGGACUGAGACACGGCCCAGACUCCUCCGGGAGGCACCAGUAGGGAAUAUUGGACAAUGGGCGAAAGCCUGAUCCACCAAUGCCGCGUGAGUGAUGAAGGCCUUAGGGUUGUAACGCUUUUUUACCCGGGAUGAUACUGACUGUACCGGAAGAAUAAGCACCGGCUAACCACGUG